GGUCUCCGUAGUUUAGUCGGGAAAACACCCGAGUAUGAUCCGGUAGAACUCGGGUUCGAACCCCGCUGAAAGCA